rnacentral:rRNA from 1 species
GAGUUUGAUCCUGGCUCAGAUUGAACGCUGGCGGCAUGCUUUACACAUGCAAGUCGAACGGCAGCAUGGAGGUGCUUGCACCUCUGAUGGCGAGUGGCGAACGGGUGAGUAACAUAUCGGAACGUACCAAGUAGAGGGGGAUAACUAAUCGAAAGAUUAGCUAAUACCGCAUAUACUCUGAGGAGGAAAGCUGGGGACCGCAAGGCCUGGCGCUACUUGAGCGGCCGAUAUCUGAUUAGCUAGUUGGUGGGGUAAAGGCCUACCAAGGCGACGAUCAGUAGCGGGUCUGAGAGGAUGAUCCGCCACACUGGGACUGAGACACGGCCCAGACUCCUACGGGAGGCAGCAGUGGGGAAUUUUGGACAAUGGGCGCAAGCCUGAUCCAGCCAUGCCGCGUGUCUGAAGAAGGCCUUCGGGUUGUAAAGGACUUUUGUCAGGGAAGAAAAGGGACUGGUUAAGAGCURGUUCUGAUGACGGUACCUGAAGAAUAAGCACCGGCUAACUACGUGCCAGCAGCCGCGGUAAUAC